AUACUAGACAACAGACAGACUUCCUUAGUGAAGGUCCUAAAAUUCCUCCUUUUUUUCUGAACAUGAGCAGGGAAGAAGUUAUCAAAGAAAGCAUCCAUGAAAACUUCUCAGGUUGUAGGGGUAGGCAGGACUUCCUUCUUAAGUCACCACCAGUGUUCUGCUUCACCAUUUAACAUGAAAGCUGCAAGGGGAACUUUUUGUUCUUCGAUCAGGUCUAAAACAGAGAAGAGUUUUUCUAUCUGUAGGAUCCAGGCUUCGGCUACUAAAGGAUCAGGACCACCUUCAAAGUUUGGGGGGUUAAGUUUCCUAAAUUUUGCUAUAU
rnacentral:lncRNA from 1 species